UUAAGCGACUAAGCGUACACGGUGGAUGCCCUGGCAGUCAGAGGCGAUGAAGGACGUGCUAAUCUGCGAUAAGCGUCGGUAAGGUGAUAUGAACCGUUAUAACCGGCGAUUUCCGAAUGGGGAAACCCAGUGUGAUUCGUCACACUAUCAUUAACUGAAUCCAUAGGUUAAUGAGGCGAACCGGGGGAACUGAAACAUCUAAGUACCCCGAGGAAAAGAAAUCAACCGAGAUUCCCCCAGUAGCGGCGAGCGAACGGGGAGCAGCCCAGAGCCUGAAUCAGUGUGUGUGUUAGUGGAAGCGUCUGGAAAGGCGCGCGAUACAGGGUGACAGCCCCGUACACAAAAAUGCACAUNUGUGAGCUCGAUGAGUAGGGCGGGACACGUGGUAUCCUGUCUGAAUAUGGGGGGACCAUCCUCCAAGGCUAAAUACUCCUGACUGACCGAUAGUGAACCAGUACCGUGAGGGAAAGGCGAAAAGAACCCCGGCGAGGGGAGUGAAAAAGAACCUGAAACCGUGUACGUACAAGCAGUGGGAGCACGCUUCGGCGUGUGACUGCGUACCUUUUGUAUAAUGGGUCAGCGACUUAUAUUCUGUAGCAAGGUUAACCGAAUAGGGGAGCCGAAGGGAAACCGAGUCUUAACUGGGCGUUAAGUUGCAGGGUAUAGACCCGAAACCCGGUGAUCUAGCCAUGGGCAGGUUGAAGGUUGGGUAACACUAACUGGAGGACCGAACCGACUAAUGUUGAAAAAUUAGCGGAUGACUUGUGGCUGGGGGUGAAAGGCCAAUCAAACCGGGAGAUAGCUGGUUCUCCCCGAAAGCUAUUUAGGUAGCGCCUCGUGAAUUCAUCUCCGGGGGUAGAGCACUGUUUCGGCAAGGGGGUCAUCCCGACUUACCAACCCGAUGCAAACUGCGAAUACCGGAGAAUGUUAUCACGGGAGACACACGGCGGGUGCUAACGUCCGUCGUGAAGAGGGAAACAACCCAGACCGCCAGCUAAGGUCCCAAAGUCAUGGUUAAGUGGGAAACGAUGUGGGAAGGCCCAGACAGCCAGGAUGUUGGCUUAGAAGCAGCCAUCAUUUAAAGAAAGCGUAAUAGCUCACUGGUCGAGUCGGCCUGCGCGGAAGAUGUAACGGGGCUAAACCAUGCACCGAAGCUGCGGCAGCGACACUAUGUGUUGUUGGGUAGGGGAGCGUUCUGUAAGCCUGUGAAGGUGUACUGUGAGGUAUGCUGGAGGUAUCAGAAGUGCGAAUGCUGACAUAAGUAACGAUAAAGCGGGUGAAAAGCCCGCUCGCCGGAAGACCAAGGGUUCCUGUCCAACGUUAAUCGGGGCAGGGUGAGUCGACCCCUAAGGCGAGGCCGAAAGGCGUAGUCGAUGGGAAACAGGUUAAUAUUCCUGUACUUGGUGUUACUGCGAAGGGGGGACGGAGAAGGCUAUGUUGGCCGGGCGACGGUUGUCCCGGUUUAAGCGUGUAGGCUGGUUUUCCAGGCAAAUCCGGAAAAUCAAGGCUGAGGCGUGAUGACGAGGCACUACGGUGCUGAAGCAACAAAUGCCCUGCUUCCAGGAAAAGCCUCUAAGCAUCAGGUAACAUCAAAUCGUACCCCAAACCGACACAGGUGGUCAGGUAGAGAAUACCAAGGCGCUUGAGAGAACUCGGGUGAAGGAACUAGGCAAAAUGGUGCCGUAACUUCGGGAGAAGGCACGCUGAUAUGUAGGUGAAGUCCCUCGCGGAUGGAGCUGAAAUCAGUCGAAGAUACCAGCUGGCUGCAACUGUUUAUUAAAAACACAGCACUGUGCAAACACGAAAGUGGACGUAUACGGUGUGACGCCUGCCCGGUGCCGGAAGGUUAAUUGAUGGGGUUAGCGGUAACGCGAAGCUCUUGAUCGAAGCCCCGGUAAACGGCGGCCGUAACUAUAACGGUCCUAAGGUAGCGAAAUUCCUUGUCGGGUAAGUUCCGACCUGCACGAAUGGCGUAAUGAUGGCCAGGCUGUCUCCACCCGAGACUCAGUGAAAUUGAACUCGCUGUGAAGAUGCAGUGUACCCGCGGCAAGACGGAAAGACCCCGUGAACCUUUACUAUAGCUUGACACUGAACAUUGAGCCUUGAUGUGUAGGAUAGGUGGGAGGCUUUGAAGUGUGGACGCCAGUCUGCAUGGAGCCGACCUUGAAAUACCACCCUUUAAUGUUUGAUGUUCUAACGUUGGCCCCUGAUCGGGGUUGCGGACAGUGUCUGGUGGGUAGUUUGACUGGGGCGGUCUCCUCCUAAAGAGUAACGGAGGAGCACGAAGGUUGGCUAAUCCUGGUCGGACAUCAGGAGGUUAGUGCAAUGGCAUAAGCCAGCUUGACUGCGAGCGUGACGGCGCGAGCAGGUGCGAAAGCAGGUCAUAGUGAUCCGGUGGUUCUGAAUGGAAGGGCCAUCGCUCAACGGAUAAAAGGUACUCCGGGGAUAACAGGCUGAUACCGCCCAAGAGUUCAUAUCGACGGCGGUGUUUGGCACCUCGAUGUCGGCUCAUCACAUCCUGGGGCUGAAGUAGGUCCCAAGGGUAUGGCUGUUCGCCAUUUAAAGUGGUACGCGAGCUGGGUUUAGAACGUCGUGAGACAGUUCGGUCCCUAUCUGCCGUGGGCGCUGGAGAACUGAGGGGGGCUGCUCCUAGUACGAGAGGACCGGAGUGGACGCAUCACUGGUGUUCGGGUUGUCAUGCCAAUGGCACUGCCCGGUAGCUAAAUGCGGAAGAGAUAAGUGCUGAAAGCAUCUAAGCACGAAACUUGCCCCGAGAUGAGUUCUCCCUGACUCCCUGAGAGUCCUGAAGGAACGUUGAAGACGACGACGUUGAUAGGCCGGGUGUGUAAGCGCAGCGAUGCGUUGAGCUAACCGGUACUAAUGAACCGUGAGGCUUAACCUU
rnacentral:rRNA from 1 species